UGGGGAAUAUUGGACAAUGGGGGCAACCCUGAUCCAGCAAUGCCGCGUGUGUGAAGAAGGUUUUCGGAUUGUAAAGCACUUUCGACGGGGACGAUGAUGACGGUACCCGUAGAAGAAGCCCCGGCUAACUUCGUGCCAGCAGCCGCGGUAAUACGAAGGGGGCUAGCGUUGCUCGGAAUGACUGGGCGUAAAGGGCGUGUAGGCGGUUUGUACAGUCAGAUGUGAAAUCCCCGGGCUUAACCUGGGAGCUGCAUUUGAUACGUGCAGACUAGAGUGUGAGAGAGGGUUGUGGAAUUCCCAGUGUAGAGGUGAAAUUCGUAGAUAUUGGGAAGAACACCGGUGGCGAAGGCGGCAACCUGGCUCAUAACUGACGCUGAGGCGCGAAAGCGUGGGGGAGCAAACAGGAUUAGA
rnacentral:rRNA from 1 species